UUCCUUUACCGUGGCAUCGAAAGUGCCAAGCGGAGCGACUACGCGUAUCAUUCAGAGGCAUUCUCAGCAAGUUAGCAUCACUCCAGUUUAGUUUUGGUGCCUUUUGAUUUGACGUGGUGCCUUUUGAUCUGAGGUCAUUUCAACAAUGGAGAGUUUUCCGUUUCACGAUGGCAAUAUCUAUAAUUCUCUCGAUAGCAGACUCACUGACACUCGCCACGAUGUUAAUCAUAGUAUGCAAAUGCACUCGUCAAUGCUACGGAGGCUUUCGCAGGAAAGAGAAUUGGAGGGGCAUCAGGGUUGUGUGAAUGCCAUUUCUUGGAAUUCCACAGGUUCACUUCUGAUAUCUGGGUCAGAUGACACACGGAUCAACAUUUGGAGCUAUUCUAGUCGAAAGCUUUUGCAUUCCAUAGAGACUGGGCAUUCUGCAAACAUAUUCUGUACAAAAUUUGUCCCUGAAACUUCUGAUGAACUUGUGGUUUCUGGGGCUGGAGAUGCAGAAGUUCGGCUGUUCAAUCUUUCUCGAUUUAGUGGGAGAGGCCCUGAUGAAAAUGCUAUUCCUCCAUCAGCUCUGUAUCAUUGUCACACCAGAAGAGUAAAAAAAAUAGCAGUUGAAGUUGGAAACCCACAUGUGGUUUGGAGUGCAAGUGAAGAUGGGACUUUGAGACAGCAUGAUUUUCGGGAGGGUGCUUCUUGUCCUCCUGCUGGAUCUUCUCAUCAAGAAUGUCGUAAUGUUCUGCUUGAUUUACGUUGUGGGGCAAAGAGGUCUCUAGUUGAUCCCCCUAAACAAACUCUCGCUUUGAAGUCUUGUGAUAUUAGUUCCACUAGGCCUCAUUUACUCCUGGUUGGUGGGAGCGAUGCAUUUGCUCGUUUAUAUGAUAGAAGGAUGCUUACUCCAUUGACUUCUUGUCGAAAAAGAAUGUCACCACCACCUUGCAUUAACUAUUUCUGCCCAAUGCAUCUUUCUGAACAUGGUCGUUCUAACUUGCACCUGACACAUGUUACUUUUAGUCCAAAUGGAGAAGAGGUUCUCCUCAGUUAUAGCGGAGAGCAUGUAUAUCUUAUGGAUGUAAACCAGGCUUGUGGGAGUGCUAUGCGAUAUACUGCAGGAGAUGCUUCAAAAAUGAUGAGUUUCAUGCCUGUACUUGACAGGGUUGAAUUGCAUCCAUCAGUAUCUGAUGUUCCCUGCAAUGGUCUUGCUGCCAGGCUUGAAAAGUGCAGGAUGUUAAUUGAAAUUGCUGGAAAUUACUUAGAGGAAGGGGCUAAUCCUUUCUAUGGAGUUGAGGCAUGCAAUGAAGUUUUGGAAGGGCAUGGUAGUGAAAUUGGAUCCAUACUGAGGCAUGAAUGUCUUUGCACGCGUGCUGCCUUAUUGCUUAAGCGAAAGUGGAAAAAUGAUGCCUAUAUUGCCAUAAGAGAUUGCUACAACGCUCGAAGAAUUGAUAAUGCUUCCUUUGGAGCUCAUUACUAUAUGUCUGAAGCUCUAGAGCAGUUGUCCAAAUAUAAACAAGCUUUAGAAUUUGCUCUUGCCGCCCAAUGUCUGGAUCCAUCCAAUUCCAGUGUGGCAGAAAAGGUGGAGAACUUAAAGAAGCAAAUUGCUGCAGCUGAAUCGGCAAAAAAUAAAAAGGCAAAUGAUGGCGCGGCAAGGCCUGAACCUCGAUCUGGAAGAGUACUCUCAUUGAGUGAUAUACUCUACCGGUCAGAGGUUAAUAGUGAUGCUUCUCAAGAUGGUCCAAGGUCUGAAAGAGAAGAUUCUGAUUAUGAUGAAGAAUUGGAGGUGGACUUUGAAACAUCAAUAUCAGGUGAUGAAGGUCGUGAUGUUGAAUCCAAUGUUCUACAUGGAAGUUUGAAUCUGAGAAUCCAUCGAAGAGGUGAUGCCUCUAAAGAAAUUGGUGGAAAUGGUUCCUGUGGUUCACCUGCCUCAUCAUCUCAAAAUGAUUGGACGCCUUACGAGCCUGAGGCAGUUAUUGAUAUGAAACGUAGAUUUGUUGGCCACUGUAAUGUUGGAACUGACAUUAAGCAAGCCAGUUUUCUUGGUCAACGAGGUGACUAUGUUGCAAGCGGGAGUGAUGAUGGUAGAUGGUUUAUUUGGGAAAAGCGAACUGGCAGAUUGAUUAAAAUGCUUGUUGGAGAUGAUGCUGUUGUGAACUGCGUGCAGUGCCAUCCCUUUGAUUCUGUUGUGGCAACCAGUGGAAUUGAUAGCACAAUAAAGAUAUGGACUCCUACUGCUUCUGUUCCCUCAAUUGUUGCUGGAGGAGCGGCGGGACCUGAAACGGCUGAUGUAUUGGAAGCCAUGGAGAGCAAUCAACGAAAAUUAUGUCGUAGUCGUGAAGCUAUCCUGCCCUAUGAACUUCUUGAACGGUUUCGAAUGCAUGAAUUUUCUGAAGGAUCCCUGCAUCCAUUUGAGUGUGCUCAGAGCUAAUCAAUCAAGUGCAUAGUCCAGUGGCCGGCAGGUAAGUAAACUGUAUAUGUGAAGGAAUUCUUUUGAUUCAUGCUCUGUUGACAAUUUGCCAGUUAUGCUUACAGUUCCUGAAAAGAGACUACUUUAUGUUAUAUGAGAAGUUGACAUUCAAGGUCUCAUAGUUUGAGCCAUAACUGAAGCUAUGGAUCACUGGCUAUGUGAAUUUCAGCGAAGGAGGUACAGGCAAAUAAUUAGUCAUGGCUGUAAGAUGCUACCCUGUAAAGGCAUUUGGGUUCUAAAAAAAUUGUUGUAAAUUGAAUAAAGCACAGCCUGAGCCCCUAAGUUUACUAU